GUGCUUGCUUCAGCAGCACAUACACUAAAAUUGAAAUGAUACAGAGAAGAUGAGCAUGGCCUCCACAAGAAUAACACACAAAUUCAUGAAGUAGUCCAUAUAUUU
ensembl:snRNA U6 U6 spliceosomal RNA